AACGAACGCUGGCGGCAUGCCUAACACAUGCAAGUCGAACGAGACCUUCGGGUCUAGUGGCGCACGGGUGCGUAACGCGUGGGAACCUGCCCUUAGGUUCGGAAUAACUCCCCGAAAGGGGUGCUAAUACCGGAUAAUGUCUUCGGACCAAAGAUUUAUCGCCUUUGGAUGGGCCCGCGUUGGAUUAGCUAGUUGGUAGGGUAAAAGCCUACCAAGGCGACGAUCCAUAGCUGGUCUGAGAGGAUGAUCAGCCACACUGGGACUGAGACACGGCCCAGACUGCUACGGGAGGCAGCAGUGGGGAAUAUUGGACAAUGGGCGCAAGCCUGAUCCCGCAGUGCCGCGUGAGUGAUGAAGGCCUUAGGGUUGUAAAGCUCUUUUACCCGGGAUGAUAAUGACAGUACCGGGAGAAUAAGCCCCGGCUAACUCCGUG
rnacentral:rRNA from 1 species